CUUACCAUGCAAGUCGAGCGAUGAAGCCCCUUCGGGAGUGGAUUAGCGGCGGACGGGUGAGUAACACGUGGGUAACCUGCCUCAAAGAGGGGGAUAGCCUCCCGAAAGGGAGAUUAAUACCGCAUAACAAGUAACUUCCGCAUGGAAGUAACUUUAAAGGAGAAAUCCGCUUUGAGAUGGACCCGCGGCGCAUUAGCUAGUUGGUAGGGUAACGGCCUACCAAGGCAACGAUGCGUAGCCGACCUGAGAGGGUGAUCGGCCACAUUGGAACUGAGAGACGGUCCAGACUCCUACGGGAGGCAGCAGUGGGGAAUAUUGCACAAUGGGCGAAAGCCUGAUGCAGCAACGCCGCGUGAGUGAAGAAGGUUUUCGGAUUGUAAAGCUCUGUCUUUGGGGACGAUAAUGACGGUACCCAAGGAGGAAGCCACGGCUAACUACGUGCCAGCAGCCGCGGUAAUACGUAGGUGGCAAGCGUUGUCCGGAAUUACUGGGCGUAAAGAGUGCGUAGGCGGAUAUUUAAGUGAGAUGUGAAAUACCCGGGCUUAACCCGGGCACUGCAUUUCAAACUGGAUAUCUAGAGUGCAGGAGAGGAGAACGGAAUUCCUAGUGUAGCGGUGAAAUGCGUAGAUAUUAGGAAGAACACCAGUGGCGAAGGCGGUUCUCUGGACUGUAACUGACGCUGAGGCACGAAAGCGUGGGUAGCAAACAGGAUUAGAUACCCUGGUAGUCCACGCCGUA
rnacentral:rRNA from 1 species